GGGGAUUUAGCUCAGUGGUAGAGCGCUUGCCUAGCAAGUGCAAGGCCCUGGGUUAAAUCCCCA
rnacentral:tRNA from 1 species